UCCAGGGUAGCCUAGUGGAUAUGGCAUCUGCCCGGUAAGCGGAACAAUGUGGGUUCGAUUCCCAUCCCUGGAC
rnacentral:tRNA from 1 species